rnacentral:misc_RNA from 1 species
GAUGAAGAACGUAGUGAAAUGCGAUAAGUAGUGUGAAUUGCAGAAUUCCGUGAAUCAUCGAAUCUUUGAACGCACAUUGCGCCUUCUGGUAUUCCGGAAGGCAUGCCUGUUCGAGAGUCAUUAACAACCGUUUCGAUCCCUUUCUUUCAGAAAUUACAAAGAGGAAAAGGGUUUGGUUAUGGUGGAGGAGGGAAAGGGAGCGUUUAGCCUGUAAAAAAAGAGGCUGUGUUCCGCCGCCCCCCCAAAAUUGUACAGGCGGUCGUGUGCGCCCACGCAUCGAGGUGUUGUAAAAGCUGCCACGGCACUUUUCACCUGUGCAGUGCGAGAUUGGCCAGCCGGUUUAAAAACCCCUCCAAACAAUCAAAGGUUGACCUCGGAUCAGGUAGGGAUACCCGCUGAACUUAAGCAUAUCAAUAAGCGGAGGA